CAGAAAGAUUUGCUACGGAACAGAAAGGAAAAUCAUGUACAGUAAUGGCUGUAGACACAGAGUUCUCCUACUUAAGAUCAGGGAUAGAUGAGAAGAGAAGCAGUUUUGCUGGAAAAGGGUCUGAGACACACACAGCCUGACCUUCCUAGAAUGACCAAGCUGAUAUUGUGAUUAAUGAGCCAAUUAUUUUCAUCUACGACAUGAAACAAAACAAAUAGCCUAUUCCCCUUCUAUCUACUCUUUUAAAAGGAACUUCCAAAACAAGAGAGAGAAGCAACUUCUAUGAAGCUAAGAAAACAAUAGUGCAUGACUGCAUGAUCAUCAGAAAAACUGCUCAUUAUGCUUUGUGCAUUGCAGCGCACUAAUUUCUCUACAAAAAACAACAACAACAAACAAGCGACAACCAAGCAACCAAAACCCCAUGAAGUAAUCCUAC
ensembl:lncRNA